GCUACACAUGCAGUCGAACGAGAAAGUGGGGGCAACUCCAUGAGUAAAGUGGCAGACGGGUGAGUAACACGUGAACAACCUACCCUUGAGUGUGGAAUAACACCGCGAAAGCGGUGCUAAUACCGCAUAACAUCUUCGGGUCGCAUGAUCUGGAGAUCAAAAGCGCAAGUUGCUUGAGGAGGGGUUCGCGCCUGAUUAGCUAGUUGGUGAGGUAACGGCCCACCAAGGCUUCGAUCAGUAGCCGGCCUGAGAGGGCGAACGGCCACACUGGAACUGAGACACGGUCCAGACUCCUACGGGAGGCAGCAGUGGGGAAUUUUGCGCAAUGGGCGAAAGCCUGACGCAGCAACGCCGCGUGGAGGAUGAAGGCCUUCGGGUCGUAAACUCCUGUCAGUAGGGACGAAUGCCUCGCAAGAGGUUUGACUGUACCUGCUGAGGAAGCCACGGCUAACUCCGUGCCAGCAGCCGCGGUAAUACGGAGGUGGCAAGCGUUGUUCGGAGUUACUGGGCGUAAAGGGCGCGUAGGCGGCAUGGCAAGUCAGAUGUGAAAGCCCCGAGCUUAACUCGGGAACUGCAUCUGAAACUGCUUUGCUUGAGUCCUGGAGGGGGUAGUGGAAUUCCAGGUGUAGCGGUGAAAUGCGUAGAUAUCUGGAGGAACAUCCGUGGCGAAGGCGGCUCACUGGGACAACACUGACGCCGAGGCUCGA
rnacentral:rRNA from 1 species